rnacentral:rRNA from 1 species
AACGAACGCUGGCGGCAGGCUUAACACAUGCAAGUCGAGCGCCCCGCAAGGGGAGCGGCAGACGGGUGAGUAACGCGUGGGAAUCUACCCAUCUCUACGGAAUAGCGCAUGGAAACGUGUGCUAAUACCGUAUACGUCCUUCGGGAGAAAGAUUUAUCGGAGAUGGAUGAGCCCGCGUUGGAUUAGCUAGUUGGUGGGGUAAAGGCCUACCAAGGCGACGAUCCAUAGCUGGUCUGAGAGGAUGAUCAGCCACACUGGGACUGAGACACGGCCCAGACUCCUACGGGAGGCAGCGGUGGGGAAUAUUGGACAAUGGGCGCAAGCCUGAUCCAGCCAUGCCGCGUGAGUGAUGAAGGCCCUAGGGUUGUAAAGCUCUUUCACCGGUGAAGAUAAUGACGGUAACCGGAGAAGAAGCCCCGGCUAACUUCGUGCCAGCCGCCGCAGUAACAC